rnacentral:rRNA from 1 species
CCUACGGGUGGCAGCAGUGAGGAAUAUUGGUCAAUGGGCGCGAGCCUGAACCAGCCAAGUAGCGUGAAGGAUGACUGCCCUACGGGUUGUAAACUUCUUGUAUAAAGGAAGAAAGUGAGGCACGUGUGCCGUGUUGUAUGUACUUUAUGAAUAAGGAUCGGCUAACUCCGUGCCAGCAGCCGCGGUAAUACGGCGGAUCCGAGCGUUAUCCGGAUUUAUUGGGUUUAAAGGGAGCGUAGAGGGGUUUUUAAGGCAGUUGUGAAAGUUUGCGGCUCAACCGUAAAAUUGCCAUUGAUACGGGCAGCCUUGUGUACAGUUGCGUUAGGCGGCAUUCGUUGUGUAGCGG